rnacentral:rRNA from 1 species
CCCUUAGACGUUCUGGGCCGCACGCGUGCUACACUGAGUGGAUCAGCGGGUCAGGUUGCGCGAAAGUGUUUCCUAAUCUUGAAAUCCGCUCGUGAUGGGGAUUGACGGUUGCAAUUUUCCGUCAUGAACGAGGAAUACCUUGUAAGCGCGGGUCAUCAUCCCGCGCUGAAUACGUCCCUGCCCUUUGUACACACCGCCCGUCGCUCCUACCGAUUCGAGUGAUCCGGUGAACCUUUUGGACCGAGGUAGCUUGCUGCUUUGGAAAAUCAAGUAAACCACGUCACUUAGAGGAAGGAGAAGUCGUAACA